UAGGGAAUCUUCGGCAAUGGGGGGAACCCUGACCGAGCAACGCCGCGUGAGUGAAGAAGGUUUUCGGAUCGUAAAGCUCUGUUGUUAAGGAAGAACGAGUGUGAGAAUGGAAAGUUCAUGCUGUGACGGUACUUAACCAGAAAGGGACGGCUAACUACGUGCCAGCAGCCGCGGUAAUACGUAGGUCCCGAGCGUUGUCCGGAUUUAUUGGGCGUAAAGCGAGCGCAGGCGGUUAGAAAAGUCUGAAGUGAAAGGCAGUGGCUCAACCAUUGUAGGCUUUGGAAACUGUUUAACUUGAGUGCAGAUGGGGAGAGUGGAAUUCCAUGUGUAGCGGUGAAAUGCGUAGAUAUAUGGAGGAACACCGGUGGCGAAAGCGGCUCUCUGGUCUGUAACUGACGCUGAGGCUCGAAAGCGUGGGGAGCGAACAGG
rnacentral:rRNA from 1 species